rnacentral:rRNA from 1 species
AACGGCCGUACCAUGCUGAAUAUACCGGUUCUCGUUAGAUCACCGAAGUCAAGCAUCAUUGGGCGCGGUCAGUACUUGGGUGGGUGCCCACCUGGGAACACCGCGUGCCGUU